GGGGCCAUAGCUCAGUCGGGAGAGCACCGGCUUUGCAAGCCGGGGGUCGGCGGUUCGAGGCCGCCUGGCUCCACCA
rnacentral:tRNA from 1 species